rnacentral:lncRNA from 1 species
AAAGCCUCUGCGUUUUGGCGUCAACCACGAAGGGGUGGGUAUUUGACUUCAUCAUUAAGGUUUGGUCGUCAGGGGUGAGUAUCAAGGUUAAUCAACGACAUGGCGUGGGCCAGCACUAAAUACACAGCAGCCUACUACAAGGAGCCAGCCAAAUACAUUCAUCUUGUAACAUGGGGCUGGGUGUUAUCGUGACACGGUAGCUUAUAUCGUUACUCCAACAUUCAGACACUGGCUGCAAUAUUACUGACACGGUAGCUUACAUCGCUCCUCCAACAUUCAGACAAUGACUGCAAUAUUCCCGACACGGCGUACAUCCACUCUAGGUAGGCCUGUACAUGUAUGGCUACAUCCUCUCACGCUUCAGACAAGAUAAGGUUUACAUAAUCUAUACAUGUUAUGAAGGCUGAUGCAGCGUAAACAACAAUAUAUCUGCUACCAAAGUCAUCACGUACAGCAUUCCGCUGAUGACAGACCAAAUAGUGAUGAAGAGAGGCGGUCGUGUUCCGGCUUGUGACAUCAAGAGAUCGCCAGGCAGUUUACAACAUGGCUGUACUUGGUCCAGAGCCCUAUGAUCGUGGGUUCGAAUCCAGUUUCAGACGAUUUUAUUUGUAGGUUUGUCAUUACGUGCAUAUUGCUUGUGUCACCAAAGCGUUAAAGAUGCAAGGCCUGCAUCAGUUCAGGCUGUCCUACAACACUACACUGACGGGCCCUGAUACAACUUAAGUGAUGUUCCAAACUCAUUCACUGACUCUCUCUCACUUACAGAAGUACGACAGGCCCAGCCUGUCUUGCAACAUGACCCCUGCCGAACUGAAGGCUGGCGAGCAGUACCGACACAGCGGCGGCCCGGUGCACAUCGGUACACACGAGGUAGAGAAGGGGGAGGGGCUGGACAAGAACGGUCUGGGAGGUGGGGCCGACAAUCCAGGAUUCGACCCACCGCCGUACAGUGAAACGUUUGAACAACCCAGUACACGGCUAUGAGAAAGGUUGUAAAUGGUGCAUAGUAUACAAAAUUUCUGUUCUAGAUAUCUCCACAUCUCUAACAAAUCCCAGUGACUCCAACAUAUCUGUUUGUGCCGCGCUACGGGAUGGCUCAGUAGGAUGCAAUGUUCCAAGAAUGAUGCUCGAACAGAGUACAAACCUGGACUCAGAUGAUUGCGGUAUUGUUUAUUAACAUGUUUGUUUGGCGUAGGACUUAACGCGUGAUAUAACCUUAGGGCGUGUACAGCUGUAUACAAUCAGACAAUAAUAUGUCGAGGAACAGUUUACGUUUGCUCCACUAAAUUCUUAAUUUGAAGAAAAUAAUUCACAAAAUCAUCAAGCUUAAUGACCAUGUCAACAUUAUUAGCAUCAAUUGAAUAAAAAGGCAGCGCAUCCCUGCAGUACCUCCCCACCCAAAUGUUUGUUAAAACAUUAAAACAGAGCAGGUGACUGACUCUCCAAGUAUACGAUCUGUAACGAGAGUUUUCAACUCAUAUUGCAAUGAUCCUGUAAUGCUAUUAAUGUCUUUGGUUGCUGAGUGACGCGGCGCCCACUGAAAUGCUCAUGUUGACAUGUCACGAGUCCCAUUGCGAAGGUCAGGCGCGUAGCAAGCCGUUUUUAUCGUGUAAGCCCAAUAGGUUGCAAAGCUUCAUAUUUCGAUAGUGUUGAGGGCUUGCCUAUUUUUUUUUCAACAAUCAAUUGUAAGCCCGGGCUUUUUGUUGUAAUAGUAGCUACGCCCCUGGCUGUCGUCGGAUUAUAUUAAUAUUUUCAGAUAUGUUCACUGUAUAUUUUUUUAAUAUUUGAAAUAAAGUAUAUUUCGUAUUAAGUUGUA